ACAACAACAAUAAAAACGUUUGAAAACCCAAUAAUAAAAACAAUACAGAACGGCUCCAGCACAACAAAAACAACAACGCGGAGGCGCAGCUAACUGAUUCUUUUGGAGAGGAUUUGCCUUUGGGGUUCGCCCCACGAUCAGGCCGAGAACAAUAAAAACUGCACUAAAGCAGAGCCCGCACUGAUUGGAUCCAGGAUGGAUCACGGCAGCAUCAGCAUCCAAAGCAAUCCGUUUGCUCCUGGUACCCGAAUUGGGCUACCGCAAACGGGCCUACAACAAAAACAACAGGCCCGACACAAUAACAAAAACAAAGCACGCACCUAUUUGGGGGGGAGCUCCGGCUCCCCCAGUAGCUUUACCCCUCUCGCCUUCCCCAGCCU
rnacentral:sRNA from 1 species